rnacentral:rRNA from 1 species
CCUACGGGAGGCAGCGGUAGGGAAUCUUGCGCAAUGGGCGAAAGCCUGACGCAGCCAUGCCGCGUGAAUGAUGAAGGUCUUAGGAUUGUAAAAUUCUUUCACCGGGGACGAUAAUGACGGUACCCGGAGAAGAAGCCCCGGCUAACUUCGUGCCAGCAGCCGCGGUAAUACGAAGGGGGCUAGCGUUGCUCGGAAUUACUGGGCGUAAAGGGAGCGUAGGCGGAUAGUUUAGUCAGAGGUGAAAGCCCAGGGCUCAACCUUGGAACUGCCUUUGAUACUGGCUAUCUUGAGUACGGGAGAGGUGAGUGGAACUCCGAGUGUAGAGGUGAAAUUCGUAGAUAUUCGGAAGAACACCAGUGGCGAAGGCGACUCACUGGCCCGUUACUGACGCUGAGGCUCGAAAGCGUGGGGAGCAAACAGGAUUAGAUACCCUGGUAGUCCACGCUGUAAACGAUGAGUGCUAGUUGUCGGCAUGCAUGCAUGUCGGUGACGCAGCUACGACAUUAAGACACUCCGCCGUCGGGAGGUACGGUCGCGAGAAGUUAAACGUUAAAGUAGUAAGUUAGUUACGGUCGUUGAGACGUUGCCGACGGACGACGACGAGGGAGGUUAGG